ensembl:lncRNA
CAGAUAACUCGACAGAUUUUAAUGUGGUAUAUCAAAUUUGUUGAAUUUGUAAUAUCCAAUUUGUUCCCUUUAGGAAAAGCAGAAAAAGCAAAACAAAACAAAAUGAAAAUAACAACAAAAAACCUCUUAUCUAUAAUUGUCUACAGAGCAUCAUAAGAAAUGCACUUGAUUAUAUUUCUACACUGAUGAACAUAUUUUUAUCAGAAAGCAUUUUUACCAAUUUAUUGAAUCCAUUCCUGCUUGCAGGUCUAUUUCUUGGCUGUCAGCAGAAUAAUUUAUUUUAACUUCUCAAGGCCACUCUGCUUAGAGAUGAUAAAAUUGUAUCACCUAGAUGCAGGUAUUUUAAGUUGUCUUAAUGAGCCUCCGAUUCCUACCCCAACGGCACUCUAAAAUCAUUCACCUGGCUGCAUUAGAGCAAGGCAUCCAGUUGGAACAGGAGAAAGAAGAGUAAUUUUGUCACAGCUGGACUGCUAACAAUACAGAUGUGCCAUACGGAAAGUUCCAUAUGGACUUCAAAACUCACAUUGUUCUAAACGGUGUGAGAAUUUCAGCAGAAAUGAAAAAGACAGCAGGGACCAGAGUCACUGCAAAGGUAUUACAACACUGUGCAAAGAAACACAAGACAAGAGGCCAUCUUACUCCUUUAGAAGAGUUUGAAAAUUUGACUGUGUCUUGGCCAGCACUGAGAAAAAAAAGUGCAAUAAAAGGAUUCUGUUAAAAUCUGCAGAAGCUGAGAUCCAGCCAAAAGCAAGGCAGCAUGAAAAUAAGAAUUUCUUUCGGAAAUAAUUAUUUCAUAGAGAUCAGAUGUGACACCCUGGUCCUGUUGGCACCAGUGACAAAAUGAUCUGUGGCUUCAAAUAAUUCAAAACAAAGAAUCCUAGAAUAACAAAAGCAGACUUUCUGGAGCCCAUAUUGGACAAAAUGCACUGUGUUUGCUAGAUGCUGAUGGCUCUGUCUCCUGUGAAUUUCUUCACUUCUUUCCUGGAAAACACUUUAACUUUCGGCUUUCAGAACACUACGUGGUGCUGUCCCACAAUUUAAUCAUGCUGUAAUAAUAGUAAUUGUAGUAAGUGCCUAUAAUUAAUUCUUAUAGUGUAUUGUUAUAAUUAUAUACAUAGUUAAUUGUUAUUGCUAAUCAUUACAAUUAAUAUCUGCAAACUAUCAUAGUAAUUUCCUAUUCAUUGUCUGUGUACAAUUAAUGACUCAAGGACUGGAGUUACAUGUAUUGUAACUACUCAUAUUUCUUCCUUUUAAAACAGUUUUCCAAAACACUGUAAGUCUUUCUUUCUUCAGAAAGUCUUUUCCAAGUUGAAAAAUGUUAGGUUUUGUGUCUCUAUUUGUGUAUAUACAUAUAAGAGCUCCAGAUCCUCAGAUAUUUGGAGUAGUUUUUUCCCCACUUAUACUGUCUGCCAUGGGAUGAUUGAUGCUGUGUAUAUUUUUCAAGGAAUGAAUGAUAUUUACAUACAAAAUUUAUUUCAUGAUAUUGUUUUGAUUUAUUUUCUUGGUUUCCUGCUAAAUGUGCCACACCUUUGCCUAUUUUUUGACUACUGUUAACUGUAGUAAAUGUAGUUUCUACAUUUCCAUAAAACCUUCCACAAUGACUAUUUUUUGAUAUCUUUCUUGAGUGGUAGCUCAUUCAGAGACCAUUAUGUUAUGGGAACGCUUAGGAUUUUCUCCCCAUGUGUAUAUAUAUAUACAUACAUACAUACACACACAUAUAUAUACAUAUAUAUAUAUAUAUAUAUAUAUAUAUAUAUAUAAUGUUUAG